AACGAACGCUGGCGGCAGGCCUAACACAUGCAAGUCGAACGCUGUAGCAAUACAGAGUGGCAGACGGGUGAGUAACGCGUGUGAACAUGCCCUUCGGUUCGGAAUAACUCAGGGAAACUUGAGCUAAUACCGGAUACGCCCUUAGGGGUAAAGAUUUAUUGCCGAAGGAUUGGCCCGCGUCCGAUUAGCUAGUUGGUGAGGUAAUGGCUCACCAAGGCGACGAUCGGUAGCUGGUCUGAGAGGAUGAUCAGCCACACUGGGACUGAGACACGGCCCAGACUCCUACGGGAGGCAGCAGUGGGGAAUAUUGGACAAUGGGCGCAAGCCUGAUCCGGCCAUGCCGCGUGAGUGAUGAAGGCCCUAGGGUUGUAAAGCUCUUUCGCCAGGGACGAUAAUGACGGUACCUGGAUAAGAAGCCCCGGCUAACUUCGUGCCAGCCGCCGCAGUAAUAC
rnacentral:rRNA from 1 species